rnacentral:rRNA from 1 species
AUACGGAGGGUGCAAGCGUUAUUCGGAAUCACUGGGCGUAAAGGACGCGUAGGCGGGAAAGCAAGUCUGAUGUGAAAUCCUAUGGCUCAACCAUAGAACUGCAUUGGAAACUGCUUACCUAGAGUAUGGGAGGGGGAGAUGGAAUUAGUGGUGUAGGGGUAAAAUCCGUAGAUAUCACUAGGAAUACCGAAAGCGAAGGCGAUCUCCUGGAACAAUACUGACGCUAAGGCGUGAAAGCGUGGGAGCAAACGGGAUUAGAAACCCUUGUAGUCC